ACAUGCUGAUUGCAGUUACUUUGAUAUUCCCCUGUUUCUAACAGGGAUCCUGGGCUCAACAGCCUCAGUGGGGUCAAGGAAUGCUCCUGCUCCUACAAUACCAUUCAGCAAAAAGAGGAUUUUAUCUGGUUGUGGAGUUGCAGAGCAUCUGUGCCACAUAGUGGAGCAACUCUGAUUUUGUCAGGCAGAGGACAGUGGUAGCAAAUGCACCAUUAGCUACUGUGUUAUGACUUCAAUGCUUUUCAGCAAUUUCUCAUUUAACCUCUACAGGAGCAGCUUAAUCUGCUUUGCUGUAUUAAGGAAGGACUUGGCACUCACUAAAGGACUUCCAGGAUGGCCCAGGAGAAGGAUAUAAAGCAACAGAAGAAGGACUCAAGAAAGGCUUAGGGAGUCCUUGGAAGAAAGCUGGAAAGCUACAGACUGUACUUAAUCUUGCCUGAUGGUGCGGUGCCAAGGAGCUUGUAGAUAGAAGGGAAAGAUUCGCUAAUUGCUUCUGCUCUCAUCAGGGAGUGAAGCACAGCAGGGAGCACAAGAGAGGGGUUCAGGAAUCAGGAGCUGGACCCUCCCUUGCUUUGUUAGCCAUACACCCAUCCUUAUGAAGUAUAAAAGAGGUAUAUGUGGGCUUUGCACUCAGCCUACAUUGAUGUACUUUACAGCCUGAGGUGAAAGGCAAAGACAUAUUAAGACCAUGAUGCCUUCUUCCCAAAUUCAGGAGAACUGAAAGACAAAUGUCACGCUUGUGGAGGCAGAAGAUCACACAUGGGCAGAGUCACAUCCUGCACCCACAUUAGGCCUAGUGAGGAGGAGUGAGGUGGUCACCCAGGCCUGAGUUGGCCCUGCUGUUUUAACACUGUUUAACAAUAACCUGAGCUAUUGAGUCUGUCUUGACAACAGCCAAACCUCCUUAUGAAUAAUUCUGCUUAAUUACAGAUGAAUGUCUGCAGCUGAAUCCUACUACUCAUAAUGAUAGGAUUACAUUUAAAUUCCUCAAAAUUCCACCUGUAUCUAUAUGUUUAGACGUUGGAGGGGAUAAACUCCACUAUUCUUCUAUGUAUGAGCUGGGAUUCCUAAUUCCUUAGAUGAGAGAGAGCAUUUGUCCUGAACCCCAGAGGCUGUACCAGUUCCAGUGCAUUUCAGAUCCAGCCAUCUGAAUCCCAUGUCAUAGAAACCUCCCUGGGAAGGGAAACUGUUCUACCUGAAGAGUGGGAGAGUACAGCUGGUGAUGGUGCCAAAUAGAUUUUUCUUUUCUGUUGGGCUGUUAUCUGGGAAUAAAGCCAGCUGGAAGAUGGCUGGAAGGAAAUCUUCCUAACUCUGAUCAUAUUUGCAAUCAGUUUUUAAGACAGAUGUUGCCUCAGGAAAUAUGAAAGUCAGCAGACAGGAGUUUUAAUGUGCAGCUUUGCAACUUGAAAAGGGCUGAGGUUUUAUAGAAAGGAAAGAAAAUGAAAGUUUACUGCUUCCUUGAGCUGUACAGAGUCACUGUAUGCAGCCAAACAAUGCAAAAUCAUGUGGAAAGAACAGGUGGGAAUCCAAGGAGUUAACAAAUGUCCUGUAGCAAAAACUUACUGUGUAGUAGAAAGACUUUUACAACCUUUAAUUUUGAAGAAUAAAUCAAGAAAUGACUUUCUGAAUUCAAUUUUCAAAAUUGACAAUGAAAGGAGAAGCUGAGAGUCAAUCAGCUGCUUUUCACAGGAAAUCCUGGAACAUGAAGUACUUGUUGGAAAGAAAGAAGGGUUGAGGACAGUGGGUGUUAGACAGGAAUAGGUUCAGUUCUUCGCUUUGACACUUUUUAACCUAAAUAAAUGCUCUGAGUAUCUUUGGGAUCUGGGUCUCCCUCUUCUGUCUGUGAAGUGGAAUAAUAGCACCUUCCCUAAGCACUGCAUAGCCAAUGUGAUAAUGAAGCUGUAUAUUACACAUAUUAGAUAAAUUUGGCAGCAGCAGGAUCUCAAGAUGGUUGGAAGGUAAUUUAAAUUAACAGCAGGAUUUUACAGUGAAGGUGAUUUUGUCCUUCAGCCUCUUUGAAACAAUCCCACAAACAGGCAAGAGGGGGUCCCCUGUACCUCUUUAUUGUAGCACGUAGGCAAUGAUACAGCUAGUGUAUUGUUGAGCAGGUACUAAAGGGGGCAGGAUGAAUAUUUUCCCUUAACGGUUUUGUAGAACUGGUGUUUCAUAUGUGUGUGUAUAUAGGUCAGAUUCUGCAGUUUUCUGCUCACACAAAGUCUCACUGGACUCAGUGAUUUGGGUUUUGUUGCACCUUUUUUUUCCUUCAACUCCCUUGCUUUUUAGCACAGCAUAGGAUGAGAUUCAUGAGAUGGUGCUGAACAAGCUGAUACAGGUCCAUGGCACUGUAGAACACCACAUAGGUGAGAUACCUGGGCAGGAUGGUGUCUGCAGAGUGGUGCUGUGCCCAGGCGAGUCGUUCGGCUGGGAUUUGGGUGCAGUUCACUUGAACAAGGGUAGAGGCUGAUUUCAGGGUGGCUACCUAGCUACCCCUAGGAAGCAAAAGCUAAGAAGGCUGAUGUGAUCUUCUGGUCUGUUGGGCAAAGUGUCUCAAGUAGAGAUAAGGGAGUGCAACACCAGUUUGCGAGGGACCAAGGAGACCCCACCAGAAUGCUGUGUGUUAUUCCAGUGUCAGGAAAUCCUGCAGACAGGACUCUGGUGUUAAUUACGUUUGAGACAGCAGGGCUAGUUAGGAUGAUCAGCAGACCCGUACGCCAGCCUUAGGAACAGGACACUGAAAGGGCUUACAUCUCUGAGACUGUAAAAUGAAGUUUGAGGCAGGA